AUUGAACGCUGGCGGCGUGCUUAACACAUGCAAGUCGUGCGGUAACAGGCGUAGCAAUACGUGCUGACGAGCGGCGAACGGGUGCGUAAUACAUGGGAAUCUGCCCUUUAGUGGGGAAUAACCCGGCGAAAGCCGGGCUAAUGCCGCAUAAGAUCUUCGGAUGAAAGCGGGGAGUCGUAAGACCUCGCGCUGAUGGAUGAGCCCACUGUCGGAUUAGCUAGUGGUGGAGGUAACGGCUCACCAAGGCGACGAUCCGUAGCUGGUCUGAGAGGACGGCCAGCCACACUGGGACUGAGACACGGCCCAGACUCCUACGGGAGGCAGCAGUGGGGAAGUCUUGCGCAAUGGGCGAAAGCCUGACGCAGCGACGCCGCGUGA
rnacentral:rRNA from 1 species